GUUGACCUCGGAUCAGGUAGGGAUACCCGCUGAACUUAAGCAUAUCAAUAAGCGGAGGAAAAGAAACCAACAGGGAUUACCUCAGUAACGGCGAGUGAAGCGGUAACAGCUCAAAUUUGAAAGCUAGCUCUUCUAGGGUUCGCAUUGUAAUUUGUAGAAGAUGCUUCGGGUGUGGCCCCGGUCUAAGUUCCUUGGAACAGGACGUCAUAGAGGGUGAGAAUCCCGUAUGUGACUGGGUGCCUUCGCUCAUGUGAAGCUCUUUCGACGAGUCGAGUUGUUUGGGAAUGCAGCUCAAAAUGGGUGGUAAAUUUCAUCUAAAGCUAAAUAUUGGCCAGAGACCGAUAGCGCACAAGUAGAGUGAUCGAAAGAUGAAAAGCACUUUGGAAAGAGAGUUAAACAGUACGUGAAAUUGUUGAAAGGGAAGCGCUUGCAACCAGACUUGCGCGCUGAUGAUCAUCCGGGCUUCUGCCCGGUGCACUCGUCUGCGCUCAGGCCAGCAUCGGUUUCGGUGGUGGGAUAAAGGCCUUGGGAAUGUAGCUCCUCUCGGGGAGUGUUAUAGCCCUCGGUGCAAUGCCGCCUACCGGGACCGAGGACCGCGCUUCGGCUAGGAUGCUGGCGUAAUGGUUGUAAGCGACCCGUCUUGAAACACGGACCAAGGAGUCUAACAUCUAUGCGAGUGUUUGGGUGUCAAACCCAUACGCGGAGUGAAAGUGAACGGAGGUGAGAACCCUUAAGGGUGCAUCAUCGACCGGUCCUGAUGUCUUCGGAUGGAUCUGAGUAAGAGCAUAGCUGUUGGGACCCGAAAGAUGGUGAACUAUGCGUGAAUAGGGUGAAGCCAGAGGAAACUCUGGUGGAGGCUCGCAGCGGUUCUGACGUGCAAAUCGAUCGUCAAAUUUGCGUAUAGGGGCGAAAGACUAAUCGAACCAUUGACUUGCUCGCUACUAGGUGGUUAAGAGGUGUACGCAAAGGUACACUUAGUCCUUCAGUGGGCAACACUGUCAAAUUGCGGGGACGUCCUGUUUUAAAUGCUGAACUACCGCAGCCGCCCCGAAAGGGGCGGUGCGCACCAGGUUAAUGGCCUCGGGGAUGGUAAAAACGUUCAGAUAGGGAUGAUCCGCAGCCAAGUCCUACGGGGUCGCGCGACCCACGGAUGCAGUUCACAGACUAGAUGACAGUGGGUUAGAUGUUCUAGCUUAAGAUAUAGUCGAACCCCCCGAGAGAUCGGGGGCGGAGGGGUACCCCCAUCCAGGGUGUAUCGCUCCAUGUUGCUAGUAGCUGGUUCCUGCCGAAGUUUCCCUCAGGAUAGCAGUGUUGAAUUCAGUUUUAUGAGGUAAAGCGAAUGAUUAGAGGCCUUGGGGUUGCAACAACCUUAACCUAUUCUCAAACUUUAAAUAUGUAAGAAGUCCUUGUUACUUAAUUGAACGUGGACAUUCGAAUGUACCAACACUAGUGGGCCAUUUUUGGUAAGCAGAACUGGCGAUGCGGGAUGAACCGAACGUGAAGUUAAGGUGCCGGAAUCUACGCUCAUCAGACACCACAAAAGGUGUUAGUUCAUCUAGACAGCAGGACGGUGGCCAUGGAAGUCGGAAUCCGCUAAGGAAUGUGUAACAACUCACCUGCCGAAUGAACUAGCCCUGAAAAUGGAUGGCGCUUAAGCGUAGUACCCAUACUUCACCGCCAGGGUAGAAACGAUGCCCUGGCGAGUAGGCAGGCGUGGGGGUCAGUGACGAAGCCUUGGGAGUGAUCCCGGGUAGAACGGCCCCUAGUGCAGAUCUUGGUGGUAGUA
rnacentral:rRNA from 2 species